GCCCUUUAAAUAUUGAAACUCAACACAUUUGGAUUUCAAAGGUUUUUUGAGUUUGGAGAAUACAGGAUUUGGGCUGAAUUUUUAACUAAUUUUUUAACUCAAAAAGCCCUUUAAAUAUUCAAACUCAACACAUUUGGAUUUCAAAGGGUUUUUAGGUUUGGAGAAUUCAAAAUUUUGGCUGCUCUGGGGUCUGGAACUUCACAAAUGUGGUUUUCUGGGGGGUUUUUGGGUUUUCGGGUUUGAUCAAUGCUCCUUAACGACCCCCAGCCAUGUUCAAUGGGCAGCUGCUCUUUGACAGACCCAUGCACGUGAAAAUGGACGAACGAGCCUUUCCCAAAGGAGAUUUCUUCCCUCCAGAGAGACCCCAACAACUCCCUCGUAAGUGUUUCCUGCAUGAUCCAACCCCCUCUGCUCCCAGCCCCAGGAAUUCCAGGGAAAAACUG